AGCGAACGUUAGCGGCGGGCCUAACACAUGCAAGUCGAACGCGAAAGGGAUUCGUCCCCAGUAGCGUGGCGUCCGGGUGAGUAACACGUAGGAAAUCUACCCUUGAGCGGGGGAUAACGUCCCGAAAGGGACGCUAAUACCGCAUAAGCCCACGACCACUUUGGUGGAUGGGGGAAAAGCUGGCCACUGUAAACAAGCUAGCACUUGAGGAUGAUCCUGCGGCGCAUCAGCUAGUUGGUGGGGUAAUGGCCCACCAAGGCUAAGACGCGUAGCUGGUCUGAGAGGAUGAUCAGCCACACUGGCACUGAAACACGGGCCAGACUCCUACGGGAGGCAGCAGUGGGGAAUAUUGGACAAUGGGCGCAAGCCUGAUCCAGCCACGCCGCGUGAGUGAUGAAGGCCUUCGGGUUGUAAAGCUCUGUGGGGAGGGACGAAAACGGCACUCAAGAAACGGGGUGUCCUUGACGGUACCUCCUUAGCAAGCACCGGCUAACUCUGUGCCAGCAGCCGCAGUAACAC
rnacentral:rRNA from 1 species